rnacentral:lncRNA from 1 species
UGCUGUCAUGUCCUCCUGCUGUCAUGUUCUCCUGUUGUCAUGUUCUCCUGUUGUCAUGUUCUCCUGUUGUCAUGUUGUCAUGUUCUCCUGUUGUCAUGUUGUCAUGUUCUCCUGUUGUCAUGUCCUCAUGUUGUCAUGUUCUCCUGCUGUCAUGUGCUCCUGUUGUCAUGUUCUCAUGUCCUCCAGCUGUCAUGUUCUCAUGUCCUCCAGCUCUCAUUGUAGAUUCUAUCAUGUAUAUUUCCUCUUUCUCAGAAGGGACAUGGCUACAAUCAGUAUUUACUUGUCUCAGUAAUGGGGUAUACAGUAGGCGCAUGUCUCCUAAUGAAGAAUGACUUUUAUUUUUAAAUGAAUCGACUGAAUUUAAUUUAUUUUCUAAUGCUUCUGUGUAGCUGAUGUAUUCCAUAUAUAACAAUGCCAUACAUAAGAUGAUAUUGUGUAUUUAUUAACCCCCCUGUAUAACACACUCAAAACAAUGUCCCACUACUACUGUCCGUCUAGGUUGUUUUGUGUCCGUUAUGUGGUGAUUGUACUCUUUGUGAUGAUGGAAGGGAGGGAGGGUUAAAAGAACAUGAACCUAGGUUAUUCACUGGUUGUGAGAGAGGGAGGGACUCAGACAGAGAGACAGACACCGUCAGCUGGCUCCUUUCCAGGUUCAUACAAGCAGAGGGGUUAAUCAGCCCCCUCACAUGGUCAGCAAAGAGGUGCUCUCACACCCUCUCUCCCUCCCUCCCUCCCGUCCUCCCUCCCUCCCUCCCUCCCUGCCUCCCUCCCCUGCAGGUUCACCAUUUUACCUCCAGGCCUGCUGCCACUCCUAAUCUACUGCCACUAAUCCUAAUUUCUAAGUGUAAGAGUGUUAAUAUAGUCACUAGUGGUAGCGUGCGUAAUGUAUUUGAUUAGAUAGUGUGUCCUCCACAGAUGGUAGAAGCCAGUGUAAUACCAUUAGUUUGUUUUAAUUAGCAACUAUAUCUCUAUGAGCAAUGUUGCUGAAAUAGCAGGAAUUCCCCCUCAUGUUUUCCAUGUAACUUUUCAUUUAAUUUUUAAAAAUUAUUUUACAUACUCAUGAAUAGCAUGCUUUCAGAGCCAAAAAUAUAUGAAGGAACAUGUUUAUGCGUAUGACCUAUGACCUAUGCAAAACCUCCCAAUUUAUUUGAUUUCUACAAAUGGCGGUACAAAUGUGGGGGGGGGGGUUACAAAACAGUUUUGAAAUCAUUACAGUUAUUUUUCCCCAGACCACCUCGUCAGGCUCUUCUCUCUCUCUCUCUUCUGUAAGUAGUUAUGACGACGCUGUGGAUUCAUAAGGUUAAAAGGGGCCAUGUAUAGAUUGUGAUUAUUAAUUGUCUGCCUUGUACUUUCUGAUGUAAAUGUGUUUUUAAAACCUAAAAAAAAAAAAAAACAUUGACAAACAUACAAAAAUAUUUUGACUUUUUUCAUUAUGCUUCAUUAUUUUGUGAAUUUUUCCAUCAAAGAUCAGACAAAUCUGGACAGUCGGCUACUCUUACGGCAUACGAAAACCUUUUGAAUUACUCCAAAAGUAAUUUAUUGUAUAUAUUGUGUUAGCAUGAAUCAACAGUGAUGUGGAUUGUAGAUGUAAAUACAACACGUUUUUUUCCUGUGAUGUGGAAUUCAUUUAUUAUUAAUAAUAAUGCUAAACAUUAAAGAUCUUGUUUUAUUGGCUC